AUUUCAUAUGAUGACUUUUGUAUCGCCCCUAUCUGAUCAACUGAUGAUUGAUUUGUUCUGAACUAUA